rnacentral:rRNA from 1 species
AUGGCGGCGAGUGCUACUGGGCUGAGUAGCACUGCGCGGUUCUUCUUCUCCCUGUCCUUCUCCUUGUCGCUCCUGUGCUGCGUCGCGGUGUCCAAUGCCGCCGGCGACGAGGCCGCGGCGCUGCUGGCCAUCAGGGCCUCGCUCGUGGACCCGCUGGGGGAGCUCCGCGGGUGGGGCUCUGCGCCGCAUUGCGGCUGGAAGGGCGUGAGCUGCGGCGCCCGGGGCGCGGUCACCAGCCUCAACCUCGCCGGCAUGAACCUGAGCGGCACCAUCCCGGACGACGUCCUCGGCCUCACCGCCCUCACCUCGAUCGUCCUUCAGAGCAACGCGUUCGUCGGCGACCUGCCCGUGGCGCUGGUGUCAAUCCCGACGCUCCGGGAGUUCGACGUCAGUGACAACGGCUUCACCGGCCGGUUCCCUGCUGGCCUCGGCGCGUGUGCCUCACUGACUAACUUCAAUGCGUCGGGCAAUAACUUCGUCGGCCCGCUCCCGGCCGACAUCGGCAAUGCCACCGAGCUCGAGACGCUCGACGUCAGGGGCGGCUUCUUCUCCGGCACGAUCCCCAAGAGCUACGGCAAGCUCCAGAAGCUCAAGUUCUUGGGGCUCUCGGGCAACAACCUCAACGGCGCUCUCCCGGUUGAGCUAUUCGAGCUCACGGCAUUGGAGCAGAUCAUCAUCGGCUACAACGAGUUCACCGGCCCGAUCCCGGCAGCCAUUGGCAAGCUCAAGAACCUCCAGUACCUUGACAUGGCGAUCGGCGGCCUGGAAGGCCCCAUCCCGCCUGAGCUCGGCCGGCUGCUGGAGCUCGACACGGUGUUCCUUUACAAGAACAACAUCGGCGGCAAGAUACCCAAGGAGCUUGGCCACCUGUCGUCCCUCGUCAUGCUCGACCUCUCCGACAACGCGCUCACCGGCGCGAUCCCGCCAGAGCUGGCGCAGCUCACCAACCUGCAGCUGCUCAACCUCAUGUGCAACCGGCUCAAGGGCGGCGUCCCGGCGGGCGUCGGCGAGCUCCCCAAGCUGGAGGUGCUGGAGCUGUGGAACAACUCCCUCACCGGCCCUCUGCCGCCGUCGCUCGGUGCCGCGCAGCCUCUGCAGUGGCUGGACGUCUCGACAAACGCGCUAUCCGGGCCGGUGCCCGCCGGCCUCUGCGACAGCGGCAACCUGACCAAGCUGAUAUUGUUCAACAAUGUCUUCACGGGCCCGAUCCCGGCGAGCCUCACCAAGUGCUCGUCGCUGGUCCGUGUGCGCGCGCACAACAAUCGGCUUAACGGCACAGUGCCGGCAGGGCUCGGGCGGCUGCCGCAUCUGCAGCGCCUGGAGCUCGCGGGCAACGAGCUCUCCGGCGAGAUCCCAGAAGACCUGGCGCUCUCGACGUCGCUCUCCUUCAUCGACCUCUCGCACAACCAGCUGCAGUCGGCGCUGCCAUCGAACAUUCUCUCCAUCCCGACGCUGCAGACGUUCGCCGCCGCGGACAACGAGCUGAUCGGGGGUGUGCCUGAUGAGCUCGGCGAUUGCCGGUCACUCUCCGCCCUCGACCUAUCGAGCAACCGGCUUUCCGGCGCGAUACCCACCAGCCUCGCGUCGUGCCAGCGGCUCGUAUCGCUGAGCCUUCGAGGCAACCGCUUCACCGGCCAAAUCCCCGGGGCAGUCGCCAUGAUGCCGACAUUGUCCAUCCUCGAUCUCUCCAACAACUUCCUCUCCGGCGAGAUACCGAGCAACUUCGGCAGCUCGCCGGCGCUCGAGAUGCUCAGCGUGGCGUACAACAACCUCACCGGUCCCGUGCCGGCAACGGGGCUGCUGAGGACAAUUAACCCUGACGACCUUGCCGGGAACCCGGGCCUCUGCGGCGGCGUCCUGCCAGCGUGCUCAGCCAACGCUCUGCGAGCUUCGUCGUCGGAAGCCUCGGGCCUCCGGCGUUCGCACGUAAAGCACAUCGCCGCCGGGUGGGCGAUUGGCAUCUCGAUCGCGCUCCUGGCAUGUGGUGUUGUCUUCCUUGGAAAGCUGCUGUACCAGCGAUGGUACGUCCAUGGAUGCUGCGACGAUAACGUGGACGAAGACGGGAGCGGCUCGUGGCCGUGGCGACUCACGGCAUUCCAGCGGCUGAGCUUCACCAGCGCAGAGGUACUCGCCUGCAUCAAGGAGGACAACAUCGUCGGCAUGGGCGGCAUGGGGGUGGUGUACCGCGCCGAGAUGCCGCGCCACCACGCCGUGGUCGCUGUGAAGAAGCUGUGGCGCGCGGCGGGAUGCCCCGAUCAGGAGGGCACGGUGGACGUGGAGUCGGCGGCCGGAGGCGAGUUUGCCGCGGAGGUAAAGCUCCUCGGCCGGCUCCGACACCGGAACGUGGUGCGCAUGCUGGGGUACGUGAGCAACGACGUCGACACGAUGGUGCUGUACGAGUACAUGGUGAACGGCAGCCUGUGGGAGGCGCUGCACGGGCGAGGGAAGGGGAAGCAGCUGGUGGACUGGGUGUCCCGGUACAACGUGGCGGCAGGCGUUGCCGCCGGGCUCGCCUACCUGCACCACGACUGCCGGCCGGCGGUGAUCCACCGCGACGUCAAGUCCAGCAACGUGCUCCUGGACCCCAACAUGGAGGCCAAGAUCGCCGACUUCGGGCUGGCCCGCGUCAUGGCGCGGCCCAACGAGACCGUCUCCGUCGUCGCCGGCUCCUACGGCUACAUCGCGCCGGAGUACGGGUACACGCUGAAGGUGGACCAGAAGAGCGACAUCUACAGCUUCGGGGUGGUGCUCAUGGAGCUGCUGACGGGGCGGCGGCCCAUCGAGCCGGAGUACGGCGAGAGCAACAUCGACAUCGUCGGGUGGAUCAGGGAGCGGCUGCGCACCAACACCGGCGUGGAGGAGCUGCUCGACGCCGGCGUCGGGGGGCGCGUCGACCACGUCCGGGAGGAGAUGCUGCUGGUGCUGCGGAUCGCGGUGCUGUGCACGGCCAAGUCCCCCAAGGACAGGCCGACCAUGCGCGACGUGGUGACCAUGCUCGCGGAGGCCAAGCCGCGCCGGAAGAGCAGCAGCGCCACCGUGGUCGCCACCGUCGUCGACAAGGACAAGCCGGUGUUUAGCACGUCGCCGGACUCCGGUUACCUGUAG